UGAUUUUCCAGACUCCCGUGAGUAUUUUAGUUGGCUCCACAGCAAUUAACGCUUACAGUUAAGAGCUACUGAGCCAACAAAAAAUGACUGGUUCAGUUAGGUGAGAAAUAUGGUGCAAAAUUCAAAUAACAAAGCAGAAAUGCAAGUCCCUCCUGAAAACAGUAAAAUAAGAUAGGCCCACAGAAAUCCCGUAUCAGAAUAGCAGGCUGGCUGUCCAAAUGUACCUAUUGCUUUGUGUAUACAUAAUGAAAUAUCCUGAAAGCCACUACUAAAUGAGCAUCUCCUCUGUCUGGAAGACAAUGAAUAUCCAAAAGUCACAUCACGACAGCCUGCCAAAAAGCCCUGAAAGUUAAGCCCUGAUGACUAGUGAGAGCUGCACACAGAACUCCCACUUAAGGACUUUAUGCAUUGAUUACUGUGUUUCCUAGCAGACUAACAACAGCACCCUGCAACAGUUUGUAAAGUACACCGCUUUGCUUCAUGAUGCUUUCAGCAGAGACAGUUACAGAAAGAGUCACAAGCUAGCACAAAACCAAACACAAACGAAGGAGUGGUGAAAAUGAUGGAAGCAUGUACCACAGCAACAUAAAGAAUGUCAGUGCACACGCUGCGCAUGAUGUAAAUAUACCAACUGUUUUUAUUUAAGGAGAAAAACGAGAGAAGGAAAGCACAUCAGAGUUAAAUGUAUGACACUACUACUCCGAAGAGAUCAUAUCUGAAUUUCAUGACAUUUGAAAUCCAGUCUCAGAUUUAACAUGACACUAAUGUAACCUUCAUAAAUAGCAUAGCAAGUUCUUUGUUUUCAGCAGGCACAGCUCAGAAGCAACUGGCAAUGAGCAGGGACAACCUAAUAAAGAGCUCACAUACACACAGUGUUACGUUCAUAAUUUAAUUUUCUCUUGAAUAUGCAUAGUUGACAAAACUACAGAAGAAGAGAUUUAAUCAAUACCCAGAAGAGAUUCUACUCCCCCAUAUGUUACCAACCACCUGUAUAGAAGCCAUGAGGUCAGAGUUAUAUGUAAUAAGUACUCUCUAAGGAGUAACCCUGAUGACUGCUACAGCAUACAUACACCUCUGAACAAUCUCAAAUCUUGACUCACCUUGGAAAAAUAACUACUGUUCACUGCAAACUUGAAACUAUUUCCACUUAACAACGUUAAGUCCAAUGUUCCAGACUUCUCUGCUCUGAAGCAAGCUUCACUUUGGAAAUUUCCUAGUUUUGGCUAGGCUUGAAUUAGUUUUCUUCACUGUGUCCAGCAUGGCCACGUUUGGAUUUGUGGCCACAAUAGCACUGACAGCACGCCGAUGUUUAGUUGCUGCUGAGCAGUGCUGCCCAAAGCCACAGAUGUUUCAGUAUUUCAGCUUCUUGUACUAUCUGGCCAGCAGGAGGAGCUGGGGGGCACAAAUUGCUAGCAGGGAACCUGGACAAUGCUCUCAGAUACAUGGUCUGAUUUUUGGGUAGUGCUGUGUGGAGCCAAGUUGGACUCGAUUAUCCUUAUGAGUCCCUUCCAACUUCCGAGAUUGGAUGAUUCACAGCAAUGGUGUUUCUCCUCCAAAGCAGCCAAGCUGCAUGAUGAACCCAGUCAUCCCACCUGAUGAAAGGAAUUCCUUCUCCAGCUUUGCUUACACAGGUACUUCUGCUUCACCCAGCAAACUGCCCACAACGUUGCAAAAGCUUUCCUCACUGCCAAAUGCAGCCUAGCUGCCUGAGGGGUCAGACCACAGCAGAAUUUCUAUCUGCUGGUAAAAAUCAGUGUACAGGGCAAAUAUCCUUCAGUUUUGAAUGAAGAAAACCACAAGUAUUUCAGCUUGCAAGUAAAAAGCUUCAGGUGUGAAAAGUAUUUUGCAUUUGUUAAUAUUUUAUUUUCAGGAGAAAAAUCUUUUUGAAGAAACAGAAACAAGAUACGUUGGUACAAGGCCAUGUGGCCAUUUCCUGUCUUAGAUUAAUGAAUUCAGAAGGCAGAGAGGAAUAAUGCAAGAGAAGAAGCACAGCCAAGAAGCAUUUGGAAAUCCAACAUAUUACUACAGAAAUUCCAGAAUCACCCAUAUGCCUUGGCUGCUUUUUGGAGACUGAACAGAAGCAAUAUGUAGGCUAACAGCAUGUCCUUACCUCCCAUGAUGCUACAAGAGUACACAUAUUCAUUUUUAAUACACCAAAAACAAACACCUGAAAACACAAGCUUAUGUACUUUUACAUAAUGAACAUAGUCAUCUAAGAAAGAGAAACAAAACCAUUUGUGUUUUGAGCCUAGAACAAGACUUGCAGUCCUCCUAAAAUUACCGUGUAUAGAAAGCAAAAUGGCACACACUAACACAGACAGAAGCAACUUUAAUAAACUAACAUAAAAUUAACCUCUCUGAAGACAAAUGAGCAUUUUUCUGUCAUAGCUAAGAGCUCAGCGCUCUUCAUUCACACAGAUAAAGAUGUUUCCAUUUUGCAGAGCCAUAAUAACUGCAACAGGCUCUGUUGCUUUUUGCUGUGCCAUUACUGAAGUAUCAACCCUCUGUGCAGUUUUACUGCAAACUUUCACCAAAAGAUAUGCAUUUCAGGAAAUCUAUCCAAAACCAAAGCACUGGCAGUACAUCCCAGCAAUGCCACUGUGGAAGGGUUUGAUUUCAGUAGACAAGUAAGGCUACAGGGGCAGUCAAACUGGUAGACAUUGCCAAAAAUAUUUGUAGUUACACAUAUUUCACUGUUUCCUCAGUUAGGUCACAAUGGGAUCACAGAAUCACAGGGGUUGGAAGGGACUUCAAGAGAACAUUGAGACCAACCCUAGGUCAAAGGGUUGCCAAAGCUAGGCCAGGUUGUACAGAUAGGCACCCUACUGGUCUUGAAUAUCUCCAUAGAAGGACACUCCACGAGCUCUCAGAGCAACUUGUGCCAGUGCAUCAUCACCUUUAUCACAAGGAAGUUCUUCCACAUUCUUCCCUAGGCUGAGAAGACCCAGGUCUUUCCAUACAUGGGAGAUGCUCCAGGCCAUUUAACAUCUUUGUGGCUCUCUCUCUGCUGGACUCCAAGGAGAUUCCUGUCUUUUUUCAUCUGGGGAGCCCAGAACGGGAUACAGUACACCGGAUGUGUCCUCACCAGGGCAGAGCAGAGGAUCACCUCCCUUGACCUGCACUCUGGGAUACCACUGACCUUCCUGGCCACGGGAGCACACUGCUGGCUCACAGCCAGGAAAAACGAAGGGAAAAAAAAAGUCUAAACUGAAGUAAUAAUUUGGUCCCAUACUAACUAAUUUCAGCUGUUUUCCCUGUAUUGUAAAAGAGGACAAAUCCUGCUUUCCAAACCAAAAUAAGCAAGGGAACAUAAGAUACAAGCCAUACAAGGUCUCUCUAUAUUUGAUAUCCUGCCUGUACUGGAAAGAGUACUUUUGCUGCUUUUUAUUAUUAUUAUUAUUAUUCCCCCUUAGGAAUUAUGAGAACAAAUAUUACAACAGCAAGCUCCUGCACGUACAUUCUGCCAACAAGACUGGACGAUGGAAAUUAAAACAAUACACGGUUAUGUAUUUUCAAACCAUCUCUUAUCUUAAAUUGCCAUAUGAAGCAAGAGCUAAGAGUGUAAUCUUAUUUAAGCAACUGUUUAUUAGUCUUGGGUGCUUCUAAAAGGUUUCCUCAAACUCUUUUCCUGGUUUUUAAGGAAAGCACAGAUGUCUUUGGCAAGCUUUAGGGCUAAAGAAUCACAUGGUUCAAUUACAUUUCAACAUCUGCCAAUACAAAGUUCUAAGUGGACUGAUACACUAUUACUGGCAUGUCAUUACAAAUUAUUACUUUGACACCAUCCAUUAAAAUAAAACAUUAUGAAAGAUACAGAGAAAGGUAUCACUGAACCCCUUAACUAGUAAGCUGGGAGCACCCUAUGUUACUUUUUUCAUAACUUUCCCUGGAGGCCAGUGGGGAUUAGUAGAGAAUUUAAGGCUCUGCAGUACAAGCUCAGUCUGAAUCUUUAUAUCCAAAAUAGGCAUAUCACAUUCAUUCACAUUUUGUGGAAUGUUUCUGGUGUUUUUAAAUGACACUGCUCUUUAGGCACUACUGAGAGAGAAAACCCUAUAGAAGUCCAACAGCAUCAAGUCAGCAUACUAUCCUCAGUCACUGACUGGACAUCACACAGGAGAACAGCGGGAGAGCUUCAAACAUUAAUUUUAUAGAAAUGAUUUUAGUUCCCAGUGUAAUCAAGCACAUCUUUUGAAAUUAAACUGAUAUAAAAAGAUUUAACCACAGGGUCUAACAAAAACAAGCCUUGGAGACUCCUGGAAGCUGAGUCAAAUAUCCUGAGCCACUGAAGCUCCCACAGCCAGGACUGCUGACUGUUUCCCAGACUGCAGCUGUCUGAUGAACAUCAGCUAUGGCUGAUUAACACCAGGCUAGUCAUAGCUAAAGAUACAGGAGAUUCCUCUGUUAGCAUCAGUUCUGUUGAACAAAGUAAGAGAAGUUUGUAAAUCCUUCUUAUGGAUUGUUAGGCAUAUUAUAAGACUGCAUACAAUCUGAUGCUGCUUAGCUACAUUUUUUUGUUUGUUUUUGCUAUGUUUUGUGCUCUUAUGCUUUAAGCAAUACAUUCAAACUGUCAUCUUGAGCAAUUUCUAGAAAAACCACCAUAUGUGCCUUACAAUACAUGCUUAAUGCGCAUUUGAUAAUUCCUAAAAUAUACUGUACAAUAAAAGCAUAAUAAAGUCAUAAGCAAGUAAAUUUCUUUCAGACUCAUUUUAAGACAAAAUCAAGCACUCCGACCAAAAAAAAAAAAAAAAAAAAGGCACAGUGCCUGCACAGCAGCUCAAGAAAUACCAAGAUCUAAAAUGCUCCAAAGCCUCACACAGCUGUCACAUACUCACAUCAGUUGACAUCAGUCUUGUGACAGCUGGGAAGGGGCAGCCCCAGAGCGUCAGGCACUUUCCUGAUUUCCAGAGGGAUCACCUCUGUCACUCGAGCAGGUGGAGAGCUGCUGACUGUGCAGCCCAUUGGGUAAGCAUGCCUGCAGAGUCUGUUGAAGGUCUCUGCAGAAAUAUCAGCAGGGUCACUCCAGAGCCUGCCUUGCUGGGGCUUCGACCAACACACAUUGCUUUGCGACUGCUCUGGGUUACUCUGACCAGAACUGCCAUACCCUGUCUCCAUCACUAUCACUGGAUGUACACAAAUUUCAAAACACAAACUGUUGCCAAGAGAAGGACGAAAGACACAACAGGGGAGAGUGGAGGAGGAGGGAAAAGAAAAAAAACCAGAUGACCCUCAGAUCCUUUCUAGACAAAACACACUUUGAUUCACCAUUUUUAUUUAGAAGAAUUUCUGUAAACCACAGCUCUGCCACUGGAGCAUCCACUUACAAGAACACUUCAGUUCUGCUGCACAAGUUUCCCUUUCAUUGACUUUAAUCUCACAACCACUAUUUUUGCACAUGAAACAUUACCAUGCUAUUGCCCACUCUCUUUGUGAGAAAUGUCCAUGUUUGGCGAAGGCAUAACACAGAAUCUACAUAUUUAUCUUCCAGAGACUGCAAAUUAAUGGCUGCUUCUGCUUUGCACAUCCACGGGGGGGAGGGGAGAAAGAGAAGGGGAGGAAAUAAAUAAAAAUCAGAGGGAUGGGUAAAAAUAUCCUUACAAAUACUGCAUACUGAUAUUUAGGAUAGCCGUCAAUAUUGCAGACACCAACCCACCAUCACAGCAAUAACUGAACCUUUGCCAAAUCCACCAGCAGUUGCCAACAAGUCAGACGCUGUGCUAGGGCUAGCUCCAUCAGAGCACAUAAUGCGGAACAAAACGGCUUUCCCAGCACUGCAAUGCAGAUCACUGUCAAACAGCACCAUAACCACAAAAGACAGAUAUGAAGGAAGAUUUGUUUCCUCAAAUUGUUUCUUUUCUUUUCCCAAUGUUUAGCAGGUUUGCAAGUUCUGAACAACAUUACUAUUCGUGUUCCCAGUUCUAUUUUUAAUUGCUGCAGUGCAAUAUUUUGUAGUGUUCCCUUCAAUUAUUUUCCAGCUGUUUGUAGAACAGUAAUCACACACAUCUGCACACUUAAGAGGCCAGUGCCAAGGCCUCAUCAAUAUGCUUGUAAGUGACUAAGUUGGGUAAUAAAACUGACAGCUCACAUAUUCCAUAUUCACAGUUGAUUUUCUGGGGAACUACUUUUUGUCUUUCUUUUAUCUGCCAAAGCUUACAGCUCAGAAGCAAUAAGUCUUUUAAGUAUUCUGAAGCUUUUAAGACUCCCACAAAUACAAGCCUGACUGAUCUGGAAAGACUGCUUCACAUACAUGAAAAACAGUCACAAGUCAUUGUUGAUAUAUUAACAAUUCAUUAUUACAGCAGAAAAAAAGUGUCAGAUUUUAAAUAGAAGAAAGGCUGAAAUACAAUACAGCACCUGGUGCCAGAGCUGCCAGUAAAUAAAGCAUGUUCCUGGUGUUUAGCACAGGUGGUUCCCUUUGUAGUCAGUGGCACUGGAAAAAAUGUCACACCUGGGCUGAAGUGUUUGCAGAACCAACUCCUGUAGCAUCAAAGAGUAAUGCAGUCGGGGAACUGCACACAACUACACUCACCACAGAAGAGUGAAAUCUUCCAAACCAGGGGAAAAAAGAACACCCAACCAGCUAACACCCCAAUAACAGCAAAACAGUAAAAGGCAUCUCAGAUCUCUGUUGAACUCAGUCUCCUGUCUGCCCAGCUGUGGUGAAGGCCAGGGCAGCAGUACAUGAACACAAAGCCUGAACCACCCAGCAGCAACACUGGGAUCUUAUUUGAACCUCUGGACUGAGACAACACUCAGGAGAGGCUGCAGCCCCAGUGAUGCCCCAGGUGGUGGGCAGAGCAGCACUCUUUCAUUCCUACCUCUGAGGUCAAAUGGAUGAGGUUUCCGGGUCUGCUCCCUACCCACUGCCUUCUCCCAUCCUUCCUGGCUACAGAGUCCAAAAACUUUCUGCAAUUCUUCUAGUUUAAGGUCAACACACUUCUACUAUUUAAAGCAGUAGAAAAAAUAGUCAAAACGCAGUUAUUAGCAUGUACAACUCUUAAGAGAUGCUCUGAAAUACAUAAGUCCCAGCUCACAAAAACGCUGGUGUUUUAAAAGUUAAUUUGAUUUUAUUUUAAGGUAUUGUUGGACAGAAGUCUUAUGCUUACAAAUUUCUCUCAUAGCCAGAAGAAUAAUACUGCUUUCCUUCAAAGAAGUCUUAACUUUUUUUUUUUUUUUUUUUU